AUCAUACUCCCUUCGUUCGAAAGAGCUUGUCCCUCAAAUGGAUGUAUCUAGCACUAACUUGGUGUUAGAUAUAUCCAUUUGAGGGACAAGUUUUUGCGGACGGAAGGAGUAUUCG
rnacentral:pre_miRNA from 1 species